rnacentral:sRNA from 1 species
ACAUGUCAACGUCGCCAGUCGGGUUCUGUCGCCUUUUCGAACGCACUAUUUGUCUAACGAAAAGCGCGGGUCGAGCAUGUCGCGAAGUCCAUCACCAAUAAAAUUUAACGCAAGCACGACUAGACCUAUUACGAUGCUUGGGUAAACCAUCAUGUAAGGUGCCACCAAUGCGAAAGACCGACCUUCAGCGACGAUGUUGCCCCAGCUCGGGUUCUCCGGGGGCACGCCAACACCGACAAAGCUAAGGUAGGCUUCCGAAAGAAUCGCGACGCCACAAAUGUAUGUUGCUUGCACAGCGAUCGGGCCUAAGGAAUUCGGUAAGAUAUACUUGAACAGGAGACGGAAAGGUCCAGCCCCAUACGACCUCGCAGCUUCAACGAACAGUUGCUCGCGCAGGGUCAGCGUUAGGCUUCUCACCAAUCUUGCAACGCUCGGAAUCUCGGGAAUUGCUAGCGCUAUUAUGACGGUCCAGAGCCCACCACCAAAGAUCGUUGCUAGAGCGAUAGCAAGCAAGAUCCCUGGGAUGGCCAUCAUCCCAUCCAUCACUCUCAUUAGUAUUUUGUCAGAUAGCUGCCCUGCGCCGGCCACCAAGCCCAGAAUUGCUCCGACGAGCGACGCUAAUGCCGCGGUGGCAAGACCAAUCGAAAGUGAUGUUUGCCCACCAUAUAAUACACGUGCAAAAAUAUCUCGGCCGAACAUGUCAGUCCCUAGCAGGUACUCGUGGCCUGGUGGCUUGAGUCGAAUGUCAGAACUCAUCGCUAGAGGGUUAAUAUUGGCUAGCACUGGAGCUACGUAUGAGACCAGCACAACUGAGAUUACAAAGGCCAGAGCAAUUAUGAGGGGCGUCGGCAACCGAUUUAUUUGGCGCCACGAGUAAAGGAAUGUCAUUGGCGAAGCUCCCUAGGUAUACUUAAUUCUUGGGUCGACAAUCAGGUACGAGAGGUCCACCAACAGAUUGACGAGCACAUAAACAAGCGAGCUCAACAAUAGGACACCCUGUAUGACGGGAAUGUCUUUGUGCUGAAUUGCUUCAACUAGCAGGCUGCCAAUGCCAGGUAUCGCAAACACCGUCUCUGUUAUCACCACACCGCCAAGCAUGUGAGCGAACGAAGUUCCAACUAUUGUAAUGACGGGGACGGCUAUUGGCUUGAGGCAAUGCCAGAUCAUGAUUGUGAUCUCGUCAAGACCUUUCGCCCGCGCAACCCUGACAAAAUCUUGGUUCAAAGCUUCAAUUGCGCUUGCUCUCGUAAUGCGGGAGAUUAACGCAGUUUGUGCGAAACCAAGCAUAAUGGCUGGGAGAAGCACAUGUUUUGCCAUUUCUAGCAGUCCGCUUUCAAUACCUGCAAACCCUGCGAUGGGCAUCGAUCCGUAAUAGACGCCGAAUGCGAAAAUCAGUAGAUAGCCAAUGAGAAAGGCCGGGAUUGCAGUGCCGGCAACACCGAAAAGGGAGACUACCUGAUCGGCAAUUCCACCUUUAUUGUGAGCUGCUAGGAGUCCCAGCGGUACCGCCACGACCACGGCCACUAAAGUUGCGGCAAUUGCAAGGGUGAUUGUCGGCUCCACCCGUGACAGGAUUAAAGCUAACACCGGUUGCUGAGAAAAGAUCGAAUGUCCGAAAUCUCCCUUCAGCACAUUUCCCAACCAGUAAAUGUACUGGGUAAUGAUGGGAUCAUCGAGAUGGAGCUUGACCCGCAAAGCAGCGAUGUCGGCGGGCGACGCAUAGUCACCCGCCAUCAAAGAUGCUGCAUCCCCAGGGCCUAGGUAGGUCAACCCAAACACCACUAUAGUUACAACUCCAAUUACCGGAAUAGCAGAAAGUAUUCUGGCGAUGAGAUACCUGAUCAUACUAGCCUCGCGAAAUUGGGUAUUACUGCGACUUCCGGCGGAC